rnacentral:lncRNA from 1 species
UCUAUUUAGAUAUAACACGGUUAUCUAAUGAUAAUUUUAUAUAAUUUAACAUUUUAAAUAUAAGCUUUUUUUUUUUGAAAGAUAGAUAGCACGCUACCCGCUUCGCUUAUUUUAUUUAAAAAUAAAUAAAUUUAACUGAAAAUAUGAAUCAACUAGAAUUCGAACUUGGAUCUCAGAUACGAACCACAAAAUUUUUUGCCACUUGCUUUAGGGACGGUCGGUCAUAUAUGAGCAAUUUUGUUCUUGUACCGAUUGAUUAAAUAAACAGAUAUAUCAAUAAAACAUAAAUGCAUCCAAAUAAACCUUUUUUCUUUU